rnacentral:rRNA from 1 species
GUAAGGAAUAUUGGUCAAUGGACGAAAGUCUGAACCAGCCAUGCCGCGUGAAGGAUGAAGGCCCUCUGGGUUGUAAACUUCUUUUAUCUGGGACGAAAAAAGGGUAUUCUUACUCACUUGACGGUACCAGAGGAAUAAGCACCGGCUAACUCCGUGCCAGCAGCCGCGGUAAUACGGAGGGUGCAAGCGUUAUCCGGAUUCACUGGGUUUAAAGGGUGCGUAGGUGGGUAUUUAAGUCAGUGGUGAAAUCUCCGAGCUUAACUCGGAAACUGCCAUUGAUACUAUUUACCUUGAAUGCCCUGGAGGUAAGCGGAAUAUGUCAUGUAGCGGUGAAAUGCUUAGAUAUGACAUAGAACACCAAUUGCGAAGGCAGCUUACUACGGGGUGAUUGACACUGAGGCACGAAAGCAUGGGGAGCAAACAGGAUUAGAUACCCGGGUAGUCC